CCUACGUGAGGCUGCAGUGAGGAAUAUUGGUCAAUGGGCGAGACCCUGAACCAGCCAAGCAGCGUGAAUGAUGACUGCCCUAUGGGUUGUAAACUUCUUUUAUAUGGGAAUAAAGUUCAGUGUGUCUACUGUUUUGUAUGUACCUUAUGCAUAAGCAUCGGCUAACUCCGUUCCAGCAGCCGCUGUAAUACGGAGGCUCCGAGCGUUAUCCGGAUUUAUUGGGUUUAAAGGGAGCGUAGGCGGGUUGUUAAGUCAGUUGUGAAAGUUUGCGGCUCAACCGUAACAUUGCAGUUGAUACUGGCAGCCUUGAGUACAGGAGAGGUAGGCGGAAUUCGUGGUGUAGCGGUGAAAUGCUUAGAUAUCACGAAGAACUCCGAUUGCGAAGGCAGCCUGCUGGACUGUAACUGACGCUGAUGCUCGAAAGUGUGGGUAUCAAACAGGAUUAGAUACCCGGGUAGUC
rnacentral:rRNA from 1 species